rnacentral:rRNA from 1 species
AGUUCGAUCAUGGCUCAGGAUUGAACGCUGGCGGAGGCGGUAUACAUGCAAGUCAGAACGGCAGCACGGACUUCAGUCUGGUGGCGAGUGGCGAACGGGUGAGUAAUGUAUCGGAACGCCUAGUAGCGGGGGAUAACUACGCGAAAGCGUAGCCAAUACCGCAUACGCCCUUCGGGGGAAAGUGUAUCUCUCGGCCUCACUAUUAGAUGCGGGCUUUAUCGAUUAUUAGCUAGUUGUGGGGUAACGGCUCACCAGCGACGAUCCGUAGCUGGUUUGAGAGGAACGACCAGCCACAUUGGGACUGAGACACGUCUAGACUCCUACGGGAGGCAGCAGUGGGGAAUUUUGGACAAUGGGGGAAACCCUGAUCCAGCCAUUCUGCGUAAAGCAUACAUUUUCGGUUGUAAAAGCACUUGGCAGAAAGAAACGGCAACGAUAAUACUCCCGUGCAACUGACGGUACCUGCAGAAUAAGCACCGGCUAACUACGUGCCAGCAGCCGCGGUAAUACGUAGGGUGCAAGCGUUAAUCGGGAAUUAGCCGGAGGAAAGCGUGCGCAGGUUCGAAAGAAAGAUGGAAAUCCCAGAGCUAACUUUGGAACUGUGGCUUUAAUACCGAGCUAGAGUGUGUCAGGGAGGGAGGUGGAAUUCCGCGUGUAGCAGUGAAAUGCGUAGAUAUGCGGAGGAACACCGAUGGCGAAGGCAGCCUCCUGGGAUAACACUGACGCUAUGCACGAAAGCGUGGGGAGCAAACAGGAUUAGAUACCCUGGUAGUCCACGCCCUAAAUCAACGAUGUCAAUUAGCCGCCGGGGCCUUUCGGGCCUGGUGGUAGCGCAGCUAACGCGUGAAGUUGACCGCCUGGGAGUACGGUCGCAAGAUUAAAACUCAAAGGAAUUGACGGGGAUCCGCACAAGCGGUGGAUGAUGUGACACUGAUGCAACGCGAAAACCCAUCGCAAUUCUUGAGAUACGUCUGGAAUCCCGAAGAGAUUUGGGAGUGCUCGCAAGAGAACCGGAACACAGGAAAGUGUACGGCCGUCGUCAGCUCGUGUCGUGAGAUGUUGCUAAGUCCCAACGAGCGCAACCCUUGUCAUUAGUUGCUAUGAAAGGGCACUCGACGAGACUGCCGGUGACAACCAGAUAGAAGGUGGGGAUGACGUCAAGUCCUUCAUGCACUUAUGGGUAGGGCUUCACACGUCAUACAAUGGUCGGGACAGAGGGUCGCCAACCCGCGAGGGGGAGCCAAUCCCAGAAACCCGAUCGUAGUCCGGAUCGCAGUCUGCAACCUGACUGCGUGAAGUCGGAAUCGCUAGUAAUCGCGGAUCAGCAUGUCGCGGUGAAUACGUUCCCGGUCUUGUACACACCGCCCGUCACACCAUGGGAGUGGGUUUUACCAGAAGUAGUUAGCCUAACCGUAAGGAGGGCAGAUUACCACGGUAGGAUUCAUGACUGUGUGAAUGUAACAAGG